AAAAGGCCAGGCCAGCAACAUCAUAAAAGCAGCAAAUAAGAGUCGGAUAGGGAACAGAGUCAAGGUCAUGAAGGCAAUCUUGGCUUUUUCCAAGGGGCUGAGCC